CUGGUUUUGUUCUUUACACCAACCUACAGAUAAAAAUAACCAUUACCCAAAUAAAGCCAAUCAACAAGAAGCUACUAACUCAAUAAUGUAUGAGUAUGGUAAUGGGUAUGAAAAUCAAUAGCUCCAACAUGACAUAUAACAUUUAACUCUGCAGAUAUCAAGCUGUAUUUUCCUUUCUAGAAAAUCUAUCUUGAAAACUACUAAACUAGGACGAGAAUAUACAAUUUGCAGCAAGUUCUAUCCAAUUCCAAUGGCACUGAGUACAUAAAUGAAAACUUAAUGAGAAUAACAUAGCAGGCGAUGGAUCCGCAUUCUGUAUUUCCAUACCAAACGAACAGAAAUAUUAGCAGUUAAGGAUAAUAAAUAUAUGGAGGCUGGAAAGAACUUACUAUGUAAGGAACUGGUGCAUCCAAAAAGUCCAGCAUAUCAUCUGGUAAAAUCGGCAUUAAUAGGCUUUGCCAUUGAUAGGGACGGAUUAGAGGGACAAUUGAUAAAAUCAAUGCAGAUAAGAUUC
rnacentral:misc_RNA from 1 species